rnacentral:rRNA from 1 species
UACGUAGGGUGCGAGCGUUGUCCGGAAUUAUUGGGCGUAAAGAGCUCGUAGGCGGUGUGUCACGUCGUUCGUGAAAACCUGCAGCUUAACUGUGGGCGUGCGGUCGAUACGGGCAUCACUGGAGUUCGGCAGGGGAGACUGGAAUUCCUGGUGUAGUGGUGGAAUGCGUAGAUAUCAGGAGGAACACCGGUGGCGAAGGCGGGUCUCUGGGCAGUAACUGACGCUGAGGAGCGAAAGCGUGGGGAGCGAACAGG